CCUACGGGGGGCAGCAGUGGGGAAUAUUGCACAAUGGGGGAAACCCUGAUGCAGCGACGCCGCGUGAGUGAAGAAGUAAUUCGUUACGUAAAGCUCUAUCAGCAGGGAAGAAACACUGACCUUACGGUCAGCAGACGGUACCUGAGUAAGAAGCCCCGGCUAACUACGUGCCAGCAGCCGCGGUAAUACGUAGGGGGCAAGCGUUAUCCGGAUUUACUGGGUGUAAAGGGGGCGCAGACGGCAAUGCAAGCCAGGAGUGAAAGCCCUGGGCCCAACCCCGGGACUGCUCUUGGAACUGCAUGGCUGGAGUACAGGAGGGGCAGGCGGAAUUCCUAGUGUAGCGGUGAAAUGCGUAGAUAUUAGGAGGAACACCGGUGGCGAAGGCGGCCUGCUGGACUGUGACUGACGUUGAGGCCCGAAGGCGUGGGGAGCAAACAGGAUUAGAUACCCUUGUAGUC
rnacentral:rRNA from 1 species